UACCAGCACCCCGAGUGGUCGGGACGAUUAUUGGGCCUAAAGCAUCCGUAGCCGGUUCUGCAAGUCCCCCGUUAAAUCCAGCUGCUCAACAGAUGGGCCGCGGAGGAUACUACAGAGCUAGGAGGCAGGAGAGGCAAGCGGUACUCAGUGGGUAGGGGUAAAAUCCGUUGAUCCAUUGAAGACCACCAGUGGCGAAGGCGGCUCACUGGCCCGGUACUGACGCUGAGGUGCGAAAGCGUGGGGAGCAAACAGG
rnacentral:rRNA from 1 species